AAAUAGAUACCCGAGGUAGUCCACGCCCUAAACGAUGUCAACUAGUUGUCGGGGGAUUAAUUUCCGUUGGUAACGCAGCUAACGCGUGAAGUUGACCGCCUGGGGAGUACGGUCGCAAGAUUAAAACUCAAAGGAAUUGACGGGGGACCCGCACAAGCGGUGGAUGAUGUGGAUUAAUUCGAUGCAACGCGAAAAACCUUACCUACCCUUGACAUGGUCGGAACCUUGGAGAGAUCUGAGGGUGCUCGAAAGAGAACCGGCGCACAGGUGCUGCAUGGCUGUCGUCAGCUCGUGUCGUGAGAUGUUGGGUUAAGUCCCGCAACGAGCGCAACCCUUGUCAUUAGUUGCUAUGAAAGGGCACUCUAAUGAGACUGCCGGUGACAAACCGGAGGAAGGUGGGGAUGACGUCAAGUCCUCAUGGCCCUUAUGGGUAGGGCUUCACACGUCAUACAAUGGUACAUACAGAGGGCUGCCAACCCGCGAGGGGGAGCUAAUCCCAGAAAGUGUAUCGUAGUCCGGAUUGGAGUCUGCAACUCGACU
rnacentral:rRNA from 1 species